rnacentral:rRNA from 1 species
GAUGAACGCUGGCGGCGUGCCUAACACAUGCAAGUCGAACGGACUUACAUUGAAGCCUAGCGAUAUGUAAGUUAGUGGCGAACGGGUGAGUAACGCGUGAGGAACCUGCCUCAAAGAGGGGGACAACAGUUGGAAACGACUGCUAAUACCGCAUAAGCCCACGGCUCGGCAUCGAGCAGGGGGAAAAGGAGCAAUCCGCUUUGAGAUGGCCUCGCGUCCGAUUAGCUAGUUGGUGAGGUAACGGCCCACCAAGGCGACGAUCGGUAGCCGGCCUGAGAGGGUGAACGGCCACAUUGGGACUGAGACACGGCCCAAACUCCUACGGGAGGCAGCAGUGGGGAAUAUUGCACAAUGGGGGAAACCCUGAUGCAGCGACGCCGCGUGAGUGAUGAAGUAUUUCGGUAUGUAAAACUCUAUCAGCAGGGAAGAUAAUGACGGUACCUGACUAAGAAGCACCGGCUAAAUACGUG